rnacentral:rRNA from 1 species
AGAGUUUGAUCCUGGCUCAGAAUCAACGCUGGCGGCGUGCCUAACACAUGCAAGUCGCACGAGAAAGGGUAGCAAUACCUGAGUAAAGUGGCGCACGGGUGAGUAACACGUGAAUUAUCUACCUCCGAGUGGGGAAUAACUGAGAGAAAUCUUAGCUAAUACCGCAUAACACUUACGAGUCAAAGCAGCAAUGCGCUUGGAGAGGAGUUCGCGGCCGAUUAGUUAGUUGGCGGGGUAAUGGCCCACCAAGACGAUGAUCGGUAUCCGGCCUGAGAGGGCGCACGGACACACUGGAACUGAAACACGGUCCAGACUCCUACGGGAGGCAGCAGUGGGGAAUUUUGCGCAAUGGGGGAAACCCUGACGCAGCAACGCCGCGUGGAGGAUGAAAUAUCUUGGUAUGUAAACUCCUUUCGAUGGGGAAG